rnacentral:misc_RNA from 1 species
UUAAGUUCAGCGGGUAUUCCUACCUGAUCCGAGGUCAACAUUUAGAUAGUUUUAGUUAAGACAGGCCCCAACCUUCCACCAUAGCGAUGUUUGUACGCCUGAGGUUGAUUGUAACCGUCGCUAAAUUUUAGGUAUGCCUUCCGGCAGUACCCAACGUCAAAUAGUGAUAUUUGAGGGGUGUAAUGACGCUCGAACAGGCA